AAAAGGAAGAGAACGCUCGCUGCUGAUGUAGUUCAUGAUUCAAAUAUUUUAUAUCACAGUGGCUGUUCUUUUUUGUUUA
rnacentral:pre_miRNA from 13 species